UGCAAGUCGAGCGCACCUUCGGGUGAGCGGCGGACGGGUUAGUAACGCGUGGGAACAUACCCUUUGGUACGGAAUAGCCUCUGGAAACGGAGAGUAAUACCGUAUGAGCCCUUCGGGGGAAAGAUUUAUCGCCAAAGGAUUGGCCCGCGUUAGAUUAGGUAGUUGGUGGGGUAAUGGCCUACCAAGCCUACGAUCUAUAGCUGGUUUUAGAGGAUGAUCAGCAACACUGGGACUGAGACACGGCCCAGACUCCUACGGGAGGCAGCAGUGGGGAAUCUUGGACAAUGGGGGCAACCCUGAUCCAGCCAUGCCGCGUGAGUGAUGAAGGCCUUAGGGUCGUAAAGCUCUUUCGCCUGUGAAGAUAAUGACGGUAGCAGGUAAAGAAACCCCGGCUAACUCCGUGCCAGCAGCCGCGGUAAUACGGAGGGGGUUAGCGUUGUUCGGAAUUACUGGGCGUAAAGCGCACGUAGGCGGACUGGAAAGUUGGGGGUGAAAUCCCAGGGCUCAACCCUGGAACUGCCUCCAAAACUAUCAGUCUAGAGUUCGAGAGAGGUGAGUGGAAUUCCGAGUGUAGAGGUGAAAUUCGUAGAUAUUCGGAGGAACACCAGUGGCGAAGGCGGCUCACUGGCUCGAUACUGACGCUGAGGUGCGAAAGUGUGGGGAGCAAACAGGAUUAGAUACCCUGGUAGUCCACACCGUAAACGAUGAAUGCCAGUCGUCGGGUAGCAUGCUAUUCGG
rnacentral:rRNA from 1 species